AUCAGUCUCUCGAACUCGCUCAUCUCUCUCGUUCCCUCUCCCUCACACCGAAUCUCACUAUCCCUUUCACGUGAAGCUCACUCUCGAACGGAAACCCUAAACACAUCAUUCACAAAAUUAUUGGCAUUUUUCUGUUGAUCCGUUUCAUGUUUGUUAAACGGUGUUUGUUUGUUUUUGGUUUUGUAGUUCCAUCAGUACCAGGUUGUCGGGAGAGGUUUUCCAACGGAAUCAGAUCCACACCCAAAGAUUUUUCGUUUGAAGCGUUGGGCUACCAAUGAAGUUCGUGCUAACUCCAAGUUCUGGUAUUCUAUAAUGGUUGUGAAUUGCAGCAUGGUCCAUAUGAGCGUUUGUUGAACAGGGUUGAAGCGUGUGCUAUUGAUACAUGGCCUCAAUUGCAACUACUAAGGCUUGCAUAUGUGGGGAACUCAAUUGUGUUAUAUAUUAUCUUUUUGUGACUGAAUCACUGGCCCAUCACUACACUCCAGCUUUUAGUGCUUGUGUCCAUUGCAAAAAUAGAGCUACAAAUCCACUCCCUAUGCACUUGGAGAGCCUUGUCUUUAGUAACAGGUUUUCUCAUUUUGGAAUUCAAUAUAGGCCAUUCAAGCUAAGUAUCACAUGCACAACUCCAUAUAUUUUUUAUGGUAAUAAUACUAUAUUCAUUUCUAUCAUGACCUAUGAUGAUGAUAUCUACUGUGAAUUCAGAAAGAAUGAUCAGUUCCUUGCUAAGAUUUUUCCAAUAUAUUUGUCAUGUGUGAAAUUAGACCAUGGGAGUUAAUUGAUCCAACAAUUAAUUUGUGCAAG